AAUGGAUGGAUGGAUGUUUUUUUUCUGUGUGUUCUAGGUGUUUGCAGAGUUUAACUGGAGCCACCACAAACCUGCAGAAUGACUUUUUUGAUGCUGUGGACCACUACACAACACCGCACUUUGUCACAAUCUUCAAGUCCAAGAACUGAAGUGUUGGAGAGACAUCUGCUGAGUUUGUGCAGCAAAUUGAUUCACGGGUGAGUCCGUACUGUCAAACAAACAUUCUGGUGACACUUGUUUCAUUGUAACAUUGACAAACAUAUUUGUACUGUCAGAUUUGAAUGUUACAUAAUCUUGAACUUAUUUUGUUAAUUAUCCACUUCUGGAAACCAGAUGUGACAGCAAUGUGCACCCUCGUGCUCAGAGGCCUCCCUGUUGUACUUGGUGAUGACCCCAGUCACUUCUACCACACCUGCUUUGAUUCUGACAGGGAUGAUGCCUGGGCACAAGUAUCUGUUGGGGUGCUGACGAACAUCAGUGAAGAUGUCCCUCUGUCCAAAUCAACUCCACCUUGAUCCAGUGUCUACUUCCAUCAUUGUUGAGGAAGGUAUUGUAAUGGAUGAUCUCCUGAACCUACCUCAAGCACUUUGCCUCUUGUUUGGGUUUUCAUUUUCUUUACACUUGGACUGAAUACCCUAAAGCCAUGAAAAACACUUUCAACUUCGUUCAAAGAGUGAUGCUUGGCACAAGACAAACUCCCACCAAAACUGCAAACUCUUAAAAAUAGUUAGAACGUAAAUUACUGUAUAAAGGUGUUGACGUUUGGCAUUAGAUUCAGUUGCUUUUUGUUAUGUUAACUAAAUUAAGGCACUCGAUUCAAAUAGUUAGCCCAUGGAUUCAUCAGCAAGUCAUGUCCAGAGGCUGCCGGUGUAUGUUAAAGUGUGUGUGAUCCAAUGCCAGAGUCCUUUCUCUUUCAUACUGUUCUGCUAACUGAAUGAAGCCACUUUGUAGUUGUCAGCCCGUUGGUUCUUUACCAAGUUUGGUCAAUCAACAACGUUUUAUAGCUAUUACAGUAUUAACGGCGUUGUUUCAGGACUGUAUGUUAGGUUAAAGAUCAGGGUUGGAUUAUAAUUGCAUUUAUUUUUAUAAAGCCCAACUUAUACUACAGCUGGCAAGUGUUGAUGGCAGCUAACUGUACCAUUACUGAUUUUGAUGCUGGCAUAUGUAGGCUGAUGGGGGGAAAAAAGACAGUCCAGCAGACUCCAUUGUUCACAAUACUCUUAUAGCAGUGAGUUGGCAAAGUAGUGUAACAUAGCUGAGCAUUUGGUGUUUUAAAUUGCUAUUGUGAAAAAGUUGUUCCUCUGUGAAAUAUAGAACCUCCAGUACACGUCUAUUUGAUGAUCAAAUAGUACAUUUUACAAAAUGUUUUUAUCUGAACCAAAUCCUAAUGUUAAAAUAAAAAGAUCAUAUACUAGAAC